GACGAACGCUGGCGGCGUGCUUAACACAUGCAAGUCGAACGGAAAGGCCCUGCUUUUGUGGGGUGCUCGAGUGGCGAACGGGUGAGUAACACGUGAGUAACCUGCCCUUGACUUUGGGAUAACUUCAGGAAACUGGGGCUAAUACCGGAUAGGAGCUCCUGCUGCAUGGUGGGGGUUGGAAAGUUUCGGCGGUUGGGGAUGGACUCGCGGCUUAUCAGCUUGUUGGUGGGGUAUUGGCUUACCAAGGCUUUGACGGGUAGCCGGCCUGAGAGGGUGACCGGCGACAUGGGGACUGAGAUACGGCCCAGACUCCUACGGGAGGCAGCAGGGGGGAAUAUUGCACAAUGGGCGGAAGCCUGAUGCAGCAACGCCGCGUGCGGGAUGACGGCCUUCGGGUUGUAAACCGCUUUCGCCUGUGACGAAGCGUGAGUGACGGUAAUGGGUAAAGAAGCACCGGCUAACUACGUG
rnacentral:rRNA from 1 species